CUCUAUUGGUGCAUUCUGCCUCCUGGUUGGAGUAAUCAAACCAGUGCUGAGGGGAAACACCAACUGGGAACUGACUUGCAGGAAACCAAAGACUACUCUGGGCCUCCCUACUGCUAUGAUAUGACUUAACCUGGAAAUCCACAGCUGUGAUCAGUGAACAGCGAGAAAACGUGAAGAAGAUUGUCAUUGAGCUAACAUCUGUGUCAAUAUUCCUCUAUUUUUCCAUGUGGGAUGCUGCUACAGCAUGGCUUGAUGGGCAGUGUGUAGGUCUGUACUUGGGAUCCAAACCUCUGAACCCUGGGCCACUGAAGCGGAGCAAGUGAACUUAACCAGUAUGACUCUGGGCUAGCUCUGUAGUUCAAAAUAUUGUUAAAUUCCUCUUCAGGUUUCUUCUUUGAC
rnacentral:lncRNA from 1 species